CAUCCAAGGCUUCGGUUAGCUGAGACAGCGGUAGUAAAAGUCAAGGAAGCCUACGACCUGACCCUUAGGUCUCCACGCCCCACGAAGACACGACCUAAAUCUCGCAGCCGUCAGUGCGUUCGCAUCCUAUUAGACUACAUCACCAGGCCGCCCGCCAAUAGGAGGACAGGACAACACGGCAUGGAGCAGCUCCACAUGGACACCCCGCACCGCCAGCCUUCUGGUUAAAGGGCCAGUGUCUGCAGGGUCGUUUUAGCGGGUGCGAAUAGGGCCGCCGGGUGAGCGCAGGGUGAGACACCGACGGGGGAAUUCCGCAGUCCUGCUCAGGCCCGUUCCCUGCUUUACAUCACCCUCCCAUUCAAAACCUAGUAUUCCUUCUCUUUCCCUAAAUUCUUUGUCCACUCGUGUCUGCUAUGGGCGGAGACUGAAAAUGUGCCAUUCCAAAGGACACCCUUCGUUGUGGUACCGGGACAGCAGUGGUGAAAAGGCGAAGCGUCCACAGCCCAGGCCAAGGAGGCGUAGCCCAAACCAGGAACAACAACGUGGAGGGCGGAAGCUGCGCGUUAACCGGACUGCCCGCUGGGCGCGGGGCGGGGUCGCUGCCUUGGGCUAGAACCGCGCUCUCUCCUAGGCUCGCCAGCUAGCCUUUAUCCUGGCUCCUGGAGUUAGGACCAUCUCUUUCUCUGGGUAUCAUCAGAAAGAUCUUCGAAGUCAGCUUGCCCAAAUCCUUGCACUCUGCAGAUAAGAAAACUGAGGCCCAAGAAAAGGGACGAUUCCAACUGCUCCUUGUUCCGUGAACUACUAAGUCUUCAAAGUCAGGUCUGAGGUCAGACUUCUCUCACCACCACAUCGUCCCGCAAAAAGUGAAGGACUAUCAAAAGUGUAGAGAGGGGUCUGAGCACUUACAUAUUAUUGAUUAGGACAGAAGAAAUGUCCAAUAUCAAAAAGCCAACCUUACUGUUUGGCUUCUUUGGUGAAAGCCACACCAUCUCCAUUAACAUCGAAAAGCACUGGACUAUUAUGAGUACCAUGGAGCUGACCCAAUUCUGUUGUCCCAGUGCUAGGCACAGACCUGUUAACGCCCCAAAUUCUUUUGUUAACCAGUGCAGGGAGAGUAGAGACAAACCAGUGUUUUCAGGAUCUUGGGCUCCAUCGCACAGCACCGGAAAGCAAACCUUUGACAUCUUAGAGGCAGGCCUCUUUGACAAUACAUCCCACCCACACUGUGCCCUUAAGUGUAUGUGUGUACCUACUUCGAGGACUGCUAGAACAUCCAGGGGACCAAAACAAAUGAGACUCUCUUUCCCUUAAGUCUGUCCUAGAGACACGCCCUGCAACAUGGAGAGCUGAGCAUGAAUCGCCCUUAAAUGUCUGGUGUCACUGACUUUAUGAAGCCGGAGCAAAGUAAACCAUGAGAGGUCAUUCAGCUUUCCCUAAGACUAUAGGGGUGCUAGCUCUAACCCAGUUCCUUUCCUGGUGCCAGCUACCUGCUUUGGGGGCGGCUGGCCCUGACCUGCACGCUCUACAGAAAAUGGGGUGAUAUAGACGCAGGAAGUGGAAGGCCUAUGACACUACCAUUUUUGCACGGAGCCAGCAACACAGUCUUCACACUGUCUUCAAGUGGCCCACGGUCUUUUCUACAGUUCAAAGCCCAGUGCUUCUACUCUUGAGAGGGACAGUUCUGUGACAAGAAAUUACUUUUCUGGAACAGUAUGUUGAAAGCACCUCUCUUCUCUCAGGGGAGAUGAUGAAUCGAAAGUGGGGUGAAUAGACUUGAUACCUGGCCUUUCCCUUGCCCCAAUAUCCCAUCUGCUCCAGAGCUUAGUGGAGAUGCUUGCUAUUUAAAACAAACAGCCUUACAGGCUUCACAUGAUCAUGUUUAUUUGGGUCACAUGGGGACAGCAGCCAGGGGAUGUUAGGCAAAAGCAAGGAUUUAGAAAGGCUUUUGUUGGGCCAGUAGUUGCCUUUAGGAGCAUAAAAAUGGCCACCAGAAUUUCUCAUCAACCAAUGUUUCUGAAAGUCCAGGAGUGGAUAGUAGGGGUGGGAGACACCCAAAGGAGGCAUAGUAGAGAGAAAUGAAUGGGAGGGCUGUUUUAACAAUUUCAGUUUCCUGCUCCAAUGGGUGGAGCCAGGGUAUAAACUGGCAAACACAUUCACUCAAGGGAAAAAGUUUUUUUGAUGUUUCAGCAAAGGCUUAGCAGGUUUGGAGACUGUUGGCAUCUCCUAAUACUUAUUCAAGUCCUGUUACGGCUCCUAAGUGCUGAGGGUGUCUGGGUCAGGAGGGCAACAAUCUUCCACCACUGUACACUUUCUCGUGAAGAUUUCUAACUCCUUCCUCUUGUCUUGUGCACCUUAGUAUCUUAUCCACAUCCCAUAGUGCACCCUCCUUCCCUGCCUACACUGGCAGACUUCCUAUUCUCUCACCAUUCAUCCCAACGGAGUCAUACAUUCACAGCUCCAAGUGCUAUAUGAAUCACUUCCCUGACCACUUCCAAACAAUGAGAUGUGGGAAAGAGUAUGGAACUAAAUAUACAGACAUUCACACUGCAACCCAGGAGAUGCCCCAACCUUUCAGUCUUGAUUUGGUAUCUUUUACUGGUGGUUAUUGGAAACUUUUCACCAGUCAUAAUUAAAACAAAACCAAAGAAGCCGGGCAGUGGUGGCGCAUGCCUUUAAUCCCAGCACUUGGGAGGCAGAGGCAGGCAGAUCUCUAUGAGUUCGAGACCAGCCUGGUCUACAAGAGCUAGUUCCAGGACAGCCUCCAAAACAAUACAGAGAAACCCUGUCUUGAAAAACAAAACAAAACAAAAAAAAGAGAAACAGCCAAAUAUACUUAAAAUAGAGGGACACCAACAGCUAUGCUCAGGAACACACCAGGUAACAUUCACAAGCACAUGCCAGACAACUGGCUAAGUAUCUUUAUAGGCCAGGCCAGGUGAUCUUUGGUAAGCAGAGUAGGGUAGGAAUCGAGAAGGUGGCUUUGACUACUACAUUCACACUGGGCAAGGUUCAUUUUGUUCUUCAUACUGUAUAAAGAGGUAACACAACUACACCAGCCUAAGAUUAAACCAGGCUCCCAGAUCUUAAUCUCUCCAAAAAUAUAAAAAGAUACUAGUAUCCAGGAGGUGAUAGCAGGCGCCUUUAAUCCCAGCACUUGGGAGGCAGAGGCAGGUGGAUCUUAGAGUUUGAGGCCAGUCUGGUCUACAAAGGGAGUUCCAGGAUAGCCAGGGCUACUCAGAAAAACCCUGUCUCAAAACAAACAGGCAUGGUGGGUCACAUUUCCAACCUCAAUUCCUAGGCUCAAGCAGAGGGAUGGUUUCCCAGCCUGCUUGGGCUAUAGAAUGAGGUUCUGUCUCCAAAACAACAUCAAAGAAAUUAAGUGCAUUUAGGUCUGGGGUACACUGAAGCCAAGUCUUUGGUUUUUUGUUUUGUUGUGUUUUUGCUUUUGUCCAAGACAGGGUUUCUCUGUGUAGUCCUAGAACACACUCUAGACAAGGCCUGCCUCUUGAACCCAAGUCUUAAAGUCAUCAGGAUAGUUCUAAAUCUGUGACAGACAUACCCUGCAAGGGCACCUGACCACUCAUCAAUGAAGUGGGUCCCCAGCACCCACCAAACAGGUACAACUGAGUUCCUCCUUCUCCCUAAGUUACUUCCCCUCGACACUGCCUCACUGGAUGCCACAACUGAAGAGUUGUGAUUACAGGGUCUAAGACACCAAGAAAAGGUGUCUUAUCAAAGGUCACCAUGCUGUCAUGCUGAGAACCAGCCUGAUCCUCUUCUCUGUCUGUGCCUGUCAAAUCUGGGCAAGUACCAUCUAUAUGGGGUCCAGAGUCCCAAAAGUCUCCCGGAAGUGAGUGAACAGGAAAAGAAAGCACAUAUGCGUGCACACACAUCAUUGCUAAAAACAGAUAAUCAUUAACUUUGCCUAGUGCUGCUCCAAACACAGGUUUAGUCCAUGAGUGAGAGCGCCUUGGGGGAACCUCUAACUGGGCCUGGGAAGGUGACAGGGAGAAAGGGGAGACCUUUAUCCAGGCACCCACCCUGGGUGUGAACACUGAGUAAUAAAGAAGGAAAUGCAGUUCAUAAACAAGUUUUUUUCUCUUAGGCCAGGGGUGAGACUUGCUGUCUUGUCUAGAGUUGGAGCUGUGGGGGCCACGAGCUAGAAGCUGAUCCACUGAAGAGGCAAAGAAGCAUGAGGACUUCAGGCAGUCCUUUGAAGGAAAAAGGAUGUGGGUUCCUGGGUGUCGAUUAAUUCAGGUCAAGGGAGUGGGACUGGGCAGAGUUAUGAGUAAAGAGAGGUGGAGUCAUUCAAUAUGAGUCAAGAGCCAGCUAGAUCACCCGAGGUGGAGAUGUGUCAGGAGGCAGGGACUCAUCUCAAGGCAGAGGGCAGGACUGCAGUCAGCACCUGUGGAAGGUCUGCCAUCCAGUUUAUACCUAACAGGCAGGCUGCUGCAUCCAGUCUCCACUGAGCAGGGAUGGAUCCACUCUUCAGAGCUUAGUAGACACAAGCUAUCUUGAGUUUCUACUUACAGGCUGGGGGUAGGGUAAAGGUAAGAGAAUCGAGUAUAUAUCUCUAUGGUCUGCCCUGCUCCCUGCCCCCAUUGGUGAUCUCUUUGUUUUGUUUUGUUUUGCUUUUCGAGACAGGAUUUCUUUAUAUUGUUUUGGAGGCUCUCCUGGAACUCGCUCUGUAGACCAGGCUGGCCUCGAACUCACAGAGAUUCACCUGCCUCUGCCUCCCGAGUGCUGCCCCAUUGGUGAUCUUAGAUGGGGCUUUAUUUGCCAUUUCUGAAGUCAAUAUGUAAUAACUGCACCAUUGUUAAACAGAUCCUUAAAAUGGAUACCUACAAUUGCUAAGUGUUACAUGAAAAAUAAAAAUAAAAGAAGCUAUACCGAAAAAUAGGCAAA